GAAAUGCGAUAAGUAGUGUGAAUUGCAGAAUUCAGUGAAUCAUCGAAUCUUUGAACGCACAUUGCGCCCCUCGGUAUUCCGAAGGGCAUGCCUGUUCGAGCGUCAUCUACACCCUCAAGCUCUGCUUGGUGUUGGGCGUCUGUCCCGCCUCCCGCGCGCGGACUCGCCCCAAAUGCAUUGGCGGCUGACCUUGCCUCCCUCCCGCGCAGCACAAUGCGCUUCUCGAGGCGUGGCGGCCCGCGUCCAGCAAGCAACCGUUUACCCGUCUUUGACCUCGGAUCAGGCUGGAAUACCCGCCUAACUUAAGC
rnacentral:misc_RNA from 1 species